GUUGAAGAACGCAGCGAAAUGCGAUAAGUAAUGUGAAUUGCAGAAUUCAGUGAACCAUCGAAUCUUUGAACGCACAUUGCGCCCGGCAGUAAUCUGCCGGGCAUGCCUGUCCGAGCGUCAUUUCUGCCCUCGGGCGAGUCCAGCAUCUAGGUGCUGGGCCCGCCCGGCGUUGGGGCACUACGGGAAGCCCUGUGCUGUCCCCCGUAGGCCCCGAAAUGAAGUGGCGGUCCUGCCGCGGCGCCCCCUGCGUAGUAUAACAGCUCGCUUCGGGACCCGGUGGAGGCCUGCCGUCAAACCUUACUCUCUAAGUUUGACCUCGGAUCAGGUAGGGUUACCCGCUGAGCUUAAGCAUAUCAAUAAGCGGAGGA
rnacentral:misc_RNA from 1 species